ACGGAGGGUGCAAGCGUUAAUCGGAAUUACUGGGCGUAAAGCGCGCGUAGGUGGUUUGAUAAGCGAGAUGUGAAAGCCCCGGGCUUAACCUGGGAACGGCAUUUCGAACUGUCAGGCUAGAGUAUGGUAGAGGAGUGUGGAAUUUCCUGUGUAGCGGUGAAAUGCGUAGAUAUAGGAAGGAACACCAGUGGCGAAGGCGACACGCUGACCAUCUGGACC
rnacentral:rRNA from 1 species